UUGUCAUUUUUCAGAAUAACUUUGUCACUUUGAGAGUUGGUAUUGUGUCUGUUUCUUUAGUAAACUUUUCAGAAAUUCAAAUAAUUUUGACUAGUAGUAGAUUAUUUUGAGCUAUGGUUCACCAUCGCACCAGGAGAAACAAACCCUCACAUCUCACUUCUGGGGGCCGUUUCCACGGACUGAAUAGUUCAGUUUCGAUUCAAUCUCGAAAUCUUGACUAAAGCAGGAGCAACAACAAUAGCAGCAACAUUCCUAAAUAACAAUGUAGGAACUUAGAACAUCAGCCACUCAGGUAGCGACGCUGUCUAACUGGGUCAGUCACCCGGCUUUGGUAAAUAUUUAGCGAGCCACUUUCGCUAACUCCGCGACAGCGUGUUCCUUUAAUGUGAUUGUAACAGCGCCUAGAGUGCCAAGAGGAGACGCGAGGCUCCCUAAAGAGACCACCUGUAAUUAACCUGUUAAUCGACAUUUACCAGGCGCUUAUUCCCCAGGCCGCAGCGAACUUCACCUACCCAGGUGGCUAGCUGAGAAAUCUGACAGGAAUCAAGCUACCAGACUAGCUAACGAUACCCAGCUAGGCGGCUAAACGGAAGGCGACAGGGGGAGACGUAGGCAAAUGCCGGCAUGCAUGACAGGCCAUCGCUUUUUAAAAUCGGCCUACCCGGAUCCUGCGAGGCAGAGCUUAUUGCGGUACGUCCUCUUGGCCCCCCGCCCCGGGUAACUAUUUCAGCGGUUGUUAGUUUCUGCGUACGAUAGCGGCUCACUUCAGGGGAGAAACGUCCGCCAUCUUCGCGACCUUGUCACGUGACGAGCGAGAGGCUGCCGUCCACGCCGCGGCAAAUAACGCGAGACUUGGGAUACCGAAAUACGCUGUGCAAACCCUUAGACUAACGUGAAAGUUUCACCUAAGGACAGACCGGCACAAGAGGAGUUCAUUUCGAUUUCUGAUAUUCAAUCCUGAAACACUGAUAGGCAGAUGGAAACUGGAUGAAGCCUAAAGCAUGACCAGAAGGAAGAAACCAAUAAAUGCUGCUUCGUAAAAGGACUCUUGGCAGUGACCUGCCUGGGUCCACAGGGUGGAUCUGGGAAGCGUAUGUACAGGGAAGUUCAGCGCUUCCCUGCAGGCUGCCGAUGACGCUUUCUCUGCGAUGAAAAGAUGUCUCUCCUCUUUGUUCUCACGUCGGUUCUGCAGAAUAACCUUCCUGGUCGACCGACUAACCUGUUGUGCAAAAAAAAAUAAAUAAUAUAUACAGCAUGCAAAUUUUGUCAUGUAGAACAACAGCCAAAUUUUAAGAAUAGCUAUUGCAAAUAAAUUGAUUUCACAUGUUCAUAAUAUUAUUUAUGUUCUGCUGGAAAUGGAUAAUUGGUCUCUCGCAAGACAGAUGACGGCUGAAAAAUAAAUCGCUAAUGGAGUUUUGCCGGAACAAGCUGUUUAGUUUAUCCUGGUAGCUUGAAAUUUUCUCCACGAGUUUCAGCCAUCUGUCUUUCAAGUGUCCUAAUGGGAUUAAUGCAGGCUUUUAAAAUGUUUUUUUUUUGUACUUUGUUUACUGUACAGAAGCGGGGGGGGGUGGAGUUUUUUUUUUUUCUAAA